rnacentral:tRNA from 1 species
GGCGCCUUGGCCGAGUGGCGAGGCAGCGGCCUGCAAAGCCGUUCACACCGGUUCGACUCCGGUAGGCGCCUCUA